GUGCUCACUUUGGCAGCACAUAUACUAAAAUCGGAAAGAUACAGAGAUUAGCUGGCCCCUGUGCAAGGAAGGCAUGCAAAUUCAUGACGCAUUCUAUAUUAAA